CCUACGGGUGGCAGCAGUAGGGAAUCUUCCACAAUGGGCGAAAGCCUGAUGGAGCAACGCCGCGUGUGUGAUGAAGGCUUUCGGGUCGUAAAGCACUGUUGUAUGGGAAGAACAGCUAGAAUAGGAAAUGAUUUUAGUUUGACGGUACCAUACCAGAAAGGGACGGCUAAAUACGUGCCAGCAGCCGCGGUAAUACGUAUGUCCCGAGCGUUAUCCGGAUUUAUUGGGCGUAAAGCGGGCGCAGACGGUUUAUUAAGGCUGAUGUGAAAGGCCGGGGCUCAAACUCGGAAUGGCAUUUGGAACUGGGUAACUUGAGUGCAGUAGAGGUAAGUGGAACUCCAUGUGUAGCGGUGGAAUGCGUAGAUAUAUGGAAGAACACCAGUGGCGAAGGCGGCUUACUGGACUGCAACUGACGUUGAGGCUCGAAAGUGUGGGUAGCAAACAGGAUUAGAUACCCGAGUAGUC
rnacentral:rRNA from 1 species